CGGGGCGUGGCCCAGCUUGGCUAGGGCGCUACAAUGGGGUUGUAGAGGCCGGCGGUUCAAAUCCGCCCGCCCCGA
rnacentral:tRNA from 1 species